rnacentral:rRNA from 1 species
AACGAACGCUGGCGGCAUGCCUAACACAUGCAAGUCGAACGAGAACUUCGGGUCUAGUGGCGCACGGGUGCGUAACGCGUGGGAACCUGCACUUAGGUUAGGAAUAACUCCCCGUAAGGGGUGCUAAUACCGGAUAAUGUCUUCGGACCAAAGAUGUAUCGCGUUUGGAUGGGGCCGUGUUGGAUUAGCGAGUUGGUAGGGUAAAAGCCUACCAAGGCGACGAUGCAUAGCUGGUCGGAUAAGAUGACCAGCAACGAUGGGACUGAGGCACGGCCCAGACCGGGACGCGAGGCAGGAGAAGGUAGUAUUAGGCGAUGGGCGAAAGCCUAAUCCAGCAAUGUCGGGGAUGUGAGGAAGGCGUUAGUGUUGUAAAGCUGUUUUACCCGAAAUGAGAAUGACGGUACCGGGUGAAGAAGCACCGGCUAACUCCGUG